rnacentral:rRNA from 1 species
AUUGAACGCUGGCGGAAUGCUUUACACAUGCAAGUCGAACGGCAGCACGGACUUCGGUCUGGUGGCGAGUGGCGAACGGGUGAGUAAUGUAUCGGAACGUGCCCAGUCGUGGGGGAUAACGUAGUGAAAAUUACGCUAAUACCGCAUACGAUCUAUGGAUGAAAGCAGGGGAUCGCAAGACCUCGCGCGAUUGGAGCGGCCGAUGGCAGAUUAGGUAGUUGGUAGGGUAAAGGCAUACAAAGCCGACGAUCUGUAGCUGGUCUGAGAGGAUGAUAAGCGACACUGGGACUGAGACACGGCCCAGAUUCCUACGGGAGGAAGCAGUGGGGAAUUUUGGAGAAUGGACGCAAGUCUGAUCCAGCCAUUCCGCGUGCAGGAUGAAGGCCCUCGGGUUGUAAACUGCUUUUGUACGGAACGAAGAGGUCUCUCUUAAUACGGGGGACUCAUGACGGUACCGUAAGAAUAAGCACCGGCUAACUACGUGCCAGCAGCCGCGGUAA